CCUACGGGGGGCAGCAGUGGGGAAUAUUGGACAAUGGGCGAAAGCCUGAUCCAGCCAUGCCGCGUGUGUGAAGAAGGCCUUCGGGUUGUAAAGCACUUUCAGUGGGGAAGAAAGCCUUGGGGCUAAUACCCUCGAGGAAGGACAUCACCCACAGAAGAAGCACCGGCUAACUCCGUGCCAGCAGCCGCGGUAAUACGGAGGGUGCGAGCGUUAAUCGGAAUUACUGGGCGUAAAGCGCGCGUAGGCGGUCUGAUAAGCCGGUUGUGAAAGCCCCGGGCUCAACCUGGGAACGGCAUCCGGAACUGGCAGGCGAGGGGCCAGGCAGGGAAGAGAAAAUCCCCGUGGCAGGGGUGAAAUGCGUAGGGGUGGGGAGGAAUCCCGGGGGGAAGGGGGCCUUUCGGGACUGACACUGACGCGGGGGGGCAAAGGGGUGGGUAGCAACCAGGAUUAGAACCCCUGGGAGUC
rnacentral:rRNA from 1 species